GGCUCAGGAUGAACGCUGGCGGUAUGCUUAACACAUGCAAGUCGAACGGAAUGCUUAGGCAUUUAGUGGCGGACGGGUGAGUAACGCGUGAGAAUUUGGCUUCAGGUCGGGGACAACAGUUGGAAACGACUGCUAAUACCGGAUAUGCCGGAAGGUGAAAGAUUUAUUGCCUGAAGAUAAGCUCGCGUCUGAUUAGCUAGUUGGUGGGGUAAGAGCCUACCAAGGCGACGAUCAGUAGCUGGUCUGAGAGGAUGAUCAGCCACACUGGGACUGAGACACGGCCCAGACUCCUACGGGAGGCAGCAGUGGGGAAUUUUCCGCAAUGGGCGAAAGCCUGACGGAGCAAUACCGCGUGAGGGAGGAAGGCUCUUGGGUCGUAAACCUCUUUUCUCAGGGAAGAAAAAAAUGACGGUACCUGAGGAAUAAGCAUCGGCUAACUCCGUGCCAGCAGCCGCGGUAAUACGGAGGAUGCAAGCGUUAUCCGGAAUGAUUGGGCGUAAAGGGUCUGUAGGUGGUGCUGUAAGUCUGCUGUUAAAGAGUCACGCUCAACGUGAUAAAAGCGGUGGAAACUACAGGACUAGAGUGCGGUCGGGGCAGAAGGAAUUCCUGGUGUAGCGGUGAAAUGCGUAGAUAUCAGGAAGAACACCGGUGGCGAAAGCGUUCUGCUAGUCCGCAACUGACACUGAGGGACGAAAGCUAGGGGAGCGAAUGGGAUUAGAUACCCCAGUAGUCCUAGCCGUAAACGAUGGAUACUAGGCGUGGCUUGUAUCGACCCGAGCCGUGCCGGAGCUAACGCGUUAAGUAUCCCGCCUGGGAAGUACG
rnacentral:rRNA from 1 species